UUUUUUUUUUUUUUUUUUUUUUUUUUGUACCUUUAUAGCUUGUAAUUUACAAAGCCCAUAAUCGGCUUAAAACUUGUACUUAGCACAGUAGUUUCUUUCAGAUGUACAGCUGAAGUCUCGGUUCUUUUGUUCCUUCUAAACUCUCUCUUUCUCUCCCCAUAUCCUUUUUCUUUCUCAUAUUUUAAGAAUCAGCCAUUGAUUGUUGGGUGUAGCCAGUCCUGCCUAUUGUUCGUUAUUUUAGUAGGAAGCUGCUUUUGUCUGUAAUCAUCAUGUGUUAUGAGCCUGAGCAUCAUCAGCACUCUACAUAGAUUGCAUUCAAAGUGUUCAGCCUUUUGAGUGAGGGCUAUCAGUAUGGUUCUAUUCUAAUCAAUAGCUUGUUUGUGAUUUACUAUAUUUGGAUAUUGGGAAGGCCGGAGUAAAGUGAAACUGAUAAAUGUAAGUACUCAUAUCUCGAUCAGGUAUAUAGAUGAGUGAUGUUAUGUAUAUUGUAUAUUAAGAUCUACGUUCUUAGUUAAGAUGCUUUAUGUUUGAAUCUUCUCAUCUUUAAAUGCUUUGUUGAAUUAAAAAAAAAAA